rnacentral:lncRNA from 1 species
UGGUAUCUCUGUGUUGUUUUACGACAGGAAGAAGGAGUACAUGAUCCCUCAGAUCGAACGGAAGGCUGGGUUCAAGUUUGAGCGGAUUGCAGCUCCUCAACCUGCAGACAUUGCCAAGGCUAGUGGCAACACAGCGACAGAUGGUGUCUUAGCAGUCUCCGAUACCGUGAUACCACUAUUCCGUCAAGCAGCUGAGGACCUUGUGAAGAGCAGUGGUUUGCCUGUACUAGACGUCCUUGCCAAGGCCAUUGCCAAAAUUUCUGGU